rfam:Dipodomys ordii contig_23769, whole genome shotgun sequence.
GGUGGCUCAGUGGUAGAGUGCUUGCCUUGCAUGCAUGAGGACCUGAGUAUGAUUCCUCAGCACCA